rnacentral:tRNA from 1 species
GAUUAAAUGGCUGAAGUGUAGGUAAUAGACUGUAAAUCUAUUUAUGAGGGAUACCUCUUUAAUCA